AACGAACGCUGGCGGCAUGCCUAAUACAUGCAAGUCGAACGAGAUCUUCGGAUCUAGUGGCGCACGGGUGCGUAACGCGUGGGAAUCUGCUCUUGGGUUCGGAAUAACAUCGGGAAACUGAUGCUAAUACCGGAUGAUAUCGAAAGAUCAAAGAUUUAUCGCCCAGGGAUGAGCCCGCGUAGGAUUAGCUAGUUGGUGGGGUAAAGGCUCACCAAGGCGACGAUCCUUAGCUGGUCUGAGAGGAUGAUCAGCCACACUGGGACUGAGAAACGGCCCAGACUCCUACGGGAGGCAGCAGUAGGGAAUAUUGGACAAUGGGGGCAACCCUGAUCCAGCAAUGCCGCGUGAGUGAUGAAGGCCUUAGGGUUGUAAAGCUCUUUUACCCGGGAUGAUAAUGACAGUACCGGGAGAAUAAGCCCCGGCUAACUCCGUGCCAGCCGCCGCCGUAAGAC
rnacentral:rRNA from 1 species